rnacentral:rRNA from 1 species
GAUGAACGCUGACAGAAUGCUUAACACAUGCAAGUCGAUGGGGAAGUGGUGCUUGCACCCUGGCAACCAUGGCGGACGGGUGAGUAACGCGUAAGGGACUUACCUGCAGGACUGGGAUAACAGGGGGAAACUCCUGACAAGACCGGAUAAUGUCAUGGAGCUGCAUGGCUUUAUGAUGAAAGGAGACGCCUGCGGAGAGCCUUGCGUCCUAUUAGCUAGUUGGUGAGGUAAUGGCUCACCAAGGCGAAGAUAGGUAGCCGGCCUGAGAGGGUGGACGGCCACAAGGGGACUGAGAUACGGCCCUUGCUCCUACGGGAGGCAGCAGUGGGGAAUAUUGGACAAUGGGGGCAACCCUGAUCCAGCAAUUCUGUGUGCACGAUGAAGGUUUUCGGAUUGUAAAGUGCUUUCAGCAGGGAAGAAGUAAGUGACGGUACCUGCAGAAGAAGCGACGGCUAAAUACGUG